GGGAGUACGGCCGCAAGGUUAAAACUCAAAUGAAUUGACGGGGGCCCGCACAAGCGGUGGAGCAUGUGGUUUAAUUCGAUGCAACGCGAAGAACCUUACCUACUCUUGACAUCCAGAGAACUUUGCAGAGAUGGUUUGGUGCCUUCGGGAACUCUGAGACAGGUGCUGCAUGGCUGUCGUCAGCUCGUGUUGUGAAAUGUUGGGUUAAGUCCCGCAACGAGCGCAACCCUUAUCCUUUGUUGCCAGCGGUUAGGCCGGGAACUCAAAGGAGACUGCCAGUGAUAAACUGGAGGAAGGUGGGGAUGACGUCAAGUCAUCAUGGCCCUUACGAGUAGGGCUACACACGUGCUACAAUGGCGCAUACAAAGAGAAGCGACCUCGCGAGAGCAAGCGGACCUCAUAAAGUGCGUCGUAGUCCGGAUUGGAGUCUGCAACUCGACUCCAUGAAGUCGGAAUCGCUAGUUAUCGUAGAUCAGAAUGCUACGGUGAAUACGUUCCCGGGCCUUGUACACA
rnacentral:rRNA from 1 species